rnacentral:rRNA from 1 species
GACGAACGCUGGCGGCGUGCUUAACACAUGCAAGUCGUACGGUAAGGCCCUUUCGGGGGUACACGAGUGGCGCACGGGUGCGUAACACGUGAGUAACCUGCCCACAACUUUGGGAUAACGCUAGGAAACUGGUGCUAAUACUGGAUAUGUGCUCCUUCUGCAUGGUGGGGGUUGGAAAGCUCCGGCGGUUGUGGAUGGACUCGCUGCCUAUCAGCUUGUUGGUGGGGUAGUGGCCUACCAAGGCGGCGUCGGGUAGCCGGCCUGAGAGGGUGACCGGCCACAUUGGGACUGAGGUACGGCACAGACAGCGACGGGAGGCAGAAGUGGGGAAGCUUGAACAAUGGGCGCAAGCCUGAUGCAGCAACGCCGCGUGCGGGAUGACGGUCUUAGGGUUGUAAACCGCGUUCAGCAGGGACGAAGCUUUUUGUGACGGUACCUGCAGAAGAAGCACCGGCUAACUACGUG